rnacentral:rRNA from 1 species
AGUGAACGCUGGCGGUAGGCCUAACACAUGCAAGUCGAACGGCAGCACAGUAAGAGCUUGCUCUUACGGGUGGCGAGUGGCGGACGGGUGAGGAAUACAUCGGAAUCUACUUUUUCGUGGGGGAUAACGUAGGGAAACUUACGCUAAUACCGCAUACGACCUACGGGUGAAAGCAGGGGAUCUUCGGACCUUGCGCGAUUGAAUGAGCCGAUGUCGGAUUAGCUAGUUGGCGGGGUAAAGGCCCACCAAGGCGACGAUCCGUAGCUGGUCUGAGAGGAUGAACAGCCACACGGGAACUGAGACACGGUCCAGACUCCUACGGGAGGCAGCAGUGGGGAAUAUUGGACAAUGGGCGAAAGCCUGAUCCAGCCAUACCGCGUGGGUGAAGAAGGCCUUCGGGUUGUAAAGCCCUUUUGUUGGGAAAGAAAAGCAGCAGGUUAAUACCCCGCUGUUCUGACGGUACCCAAAGAAUAAGCACCGGCUAACUUCGUG